GAAAUACAAUGUAUCAAGUGUAUGAGUGUGUCCUCAUUGCACGUCUGUUAUUUGAUGUCGCACCUCAAAUGAUGAGCUGGUGGACUGAGACCAGAUGGGGGGUGAAAUAGGUGGUGACAUGACAGUGUGUUAUCAGAGGACUGAGACCAGAUGGGGGGUGAAAUAGGUGGUGACAUGACAGUGUGUUAUCAGAGGACUGAGACCAGAUGGGGGGUGAAAUAGGUGGUGACAUGACAGUGUGUUAUCAGAGGACUGAGACCAGAUGGGGGGGUGAAAUAGGUGGUGACAUGACAGUGUGUUAUCAGAGGACUGAGACCAGAUGGGG
rnacentral:lncRNA from 1 species